GAUAAACGCUGGCGGCGUGCAUGAGACAUGCAAGUCGAACGGACGAGUGGGCUUGCUCACUCGUUAGUGGCGGACGGCUGAGUAACGCGUAGGUGACCUGCCCCGAAGUGGGGAAUAACUGCCCGAAAGGGUGGCUAAUACCGCAUGUGGUGGCGCAAUCAGUUGCGUCAUCAAAGCCGAAAGGCGCUUCGGGAGGGGCCUGCGUCCGAUUAGCUCGUUGGUGAGGUAACGGCUCACCAAGGCGACGAUCGGUAGGUGGUCUGAGAGGACGAUCACCCAGACUGGGACUGAGACACGGCCCAGACUCCUACGGGAGGCAGCAGUCGGGAAUUUUGCUCAAUGGGCGAAAGCCUGAAGCAGCAACGCCGCGUGAGGGAUGAAGGCCUUCGGGUUGUAAACCUCUUUUCUCAGGGACGAUGAUGACGGUACCUGAGGAAGAAGUCACGGCUAACUACGUGCCAGCCGCCGCAGUAACAC
rnacentral:rRNA from 1 species